GUUGACCUCGGAUCAGGUAGGGAUACCCGCUGAACUUAAGCAUAUCAAUAACGGGAGGAACCGG
rnacentral:rRNA from 1 species